rnacentral:antisense_RNA from 1 species
CUUACGGAGCCCCUGCUAUGUCCUCCGGCCCUUACAGAGUAAGGGUAAUCUCCAAGGCUCACAACAGGCCCUCUGUCUGGGUGGCCAGACCAGUCAGGAUUUGAACUCAGUUUUCCAAACAGUAACAAUUCCCAUCUGUUCAGCAGCUACUAUGCUUUACAGACUUGUGACAUUCAUACCACACCUGGGGGGGUGAGCUCAUCAUUCCCUCAUUUUACAGGUGAGGCAGCUGAGACUUCAGGAGGCCUCUGCUCACACGCCACCUCCUUGAGAUGCCUUGCCAGACCACCCUGUUAAAGUAGUCACCCCCACCCCUGCCCAAUAUGCCCUACCCUCUUCCCUAUUUUAUCUUCAUAGCAUGCAUCGCGGCCUGCUAAUAUUGUGUGUCUCCAUUGCAUUUUGUCUGUCUCCCUGACUAGCUCCAGGUCAGUUUAUCCUAGUGGCUUGCACUCCAGUGAUCUCUCAGACUAGCCCCGUGGGGCAAGUUAUUUUGAUGAUCUGUGCUUCCUUCGGGGUAAUGAUAGGACCUUACCUGAAAGGUUUCUUGUAAGGGUUAAAUGAGUUAAUAUCGGUUAAGUGUCGGCCACUGCCAUUGUUUUGUCCCAGAGCUGUAGCUCCAGGGUCUUCAACAGUAAACAGUAGGUUGUCAAUAAAUAUGUAUUAAAUUUAAAAA